ACUGGAUACACCCUUAAUAAUAGGUUAGGGACAUUUUCCUUAAGGUUUACAAGUCUUAUGAUUACUUGGGAGAAGAUAUAGUAAAAAUGAGUGACACAUACUAUACAAUGACAUCAACAACCUAAAACAUGGACGACCCAGGAAUUAGUGAAUAGACACAGAUAUAGCUGAACUAAAAACAACUUGCAGGGUUAUUCAUAAAAAGUUGCAGGUAAAAAUAUACAUUUAGGCUAUUUGGAGAAUGUUUU